rnacentral:lncRNA from 1 species
CCACUAGGCAACAGGCUUAUCAUCCCAAGGCUAGAAUGAGGCAAAUAUUCCCUCCUAGAACACACUUGUGCUCCCAAGUGCCUCAGGGGUUGAGCUGUGCCGCAGCUUUGGGGCAGUCUACAAGGGGCCAGUCAUACUUUUGUAGCCAAAGUGAUACUUGGUAGUACUGGGAUUCAGUCUGGACUUUGAGACAGGGUCAAUCUUUGACCAGGAUUAAGGAUCAUUCUGGGAUUAGACUCAGAGGUCUGUUUUAGGUCAGGGUUACAGGCUAGACUGAGGUUUGGAGCAGGGCUCUGUCUGGGAUCAGAGUCAGAAGUCUAUCUGAGGUUAAUGAAAGAAAGUCCUCUGAUGGAAUCUGACUGGCAAAGACAGUUGCCGAGCUUUCUCUGUCCUAGCCACCCUCUUCACAAGCCUGUCCAUGGCCUCAGCACCCCCACUCUCCACAGCACCUCCAGGAAGUCUUAGAGUGGAGUACCAUGCUCUCCUUUUCAUCUUUCCGAAGUACUUUUUGAGAUUUGAGCAGAGAGGCGGUUCUAAUUAGGAAAUCCAGCAACUAUUGCUGUGGGGCUGUGACAUCCCUGCAGACUUUCCCCAGGAUCCCACUUGGCACAGGGUGUAAGGACUCAGAAUUUCUCCUCCACAACCCUCCCAACUCCUCCUCUAUACCUGAACAGGAAAAGAGGCUGAGCAGUGGAGGACAAAAGGGCACAAAGCCACCCCCACCCAGGAGUGAGGGGAUGGGAGGAAGGCAAUUGGCGUGUUGGGGGACUUCUGGGGCUGUGAUCCCCACACGGCAGACACCUCCUGUGGUCUCUUGGGUUGGUGGCUGGAAGGUGGGUGUUUUGUGACUGUGACAAUGAUCCUUUGUGUGUGUGUGUGUGCUCAGUAUCAGCCUGUACAUCUAUCUGCAUCUCUAUAAAGCUGUGUGCAUGUCUGUCCUUUAGGAGAUGGAGAUUUCCACAGGUGAGUUUUCCUGGGUUACCUUGCCCAUUUCACCACCUUGUGGCCAGUGCUGUGUCUGGGGGUCAGGCUAGAUUCUUAGAGCUCUUCAAGCCAGCAAGACCUUAACAAUCUCCCCCAACCCCAUUUUAUGUUAGCCUCAUCCUCAGAUAGGGUGUGGGGUGGCUCUGGCACUUUGACGUGCCCUGUUCAGAUGUGACUGUUUUGUGAAACCACCCUGCUUCGAGGGUGCUUCCUAGCCCCCUGUUUCAGGACCACAGUGAUCCUGACAGGGCCUUCGUAAGUGUCCGGCCCCAAGCAUCCUGGGGUGGACGUCUGAGGUCACUGACACAGGAGCGGGGUGCUUUGGGAGCCUACAACCCGGCCCUUUGGAGCUGAUCUCCCACUAUGAAGGGCGAGUGCGGAAAGGGAGCAGAGGGAAUUGUUUCCCCGAAUCUGUAGUACUAUAACUGCCCACCAGGUGGGGUUCCAGGGCAGAGAGUGAAGCCGAGGUGACCCAGCGCUAGGAGCUAGACCAGCGUUUAGAUCUCCUGCCACACCAGCCUCGGAAGCGCUCACACAGGGAGGGACAACACAUCUGUGCGCACCUUAGACGCUCACACACAUUCUCGUCUCGUGAACUCUAAAGCAGAACUCGUACUGGGUGCAGGCAAGGUGUUAAAAGCGGAGUCUAGUAUCGUUGACACACACACUACUCUAAACUAAAGAUGGGAUAUCGACUCUGGCUCCGGGAGUGUGAGAGUGAACGCCAGAGCCAA